rnacentral:ncRNA from 2 species
AUUAAUAACGGCGAUGAUGUCCGCCGCCCCGGCCGCCCGGGGAAACCGCCCGCGAGGCCGUCUGAGGCGCAUAGCGCUUGUUACGGCACGGCCAUAGGCCAGGGCUGAUGACCUCUACCCCCUA